rnacentral:rRNA from 1 species
CCCUACGGGGGGCAGCAGUGGGGAAUAUUGCACAAUGGGGGAAACCCUGAUGCAGCGACGCCGCGUGAGUGAAGAAGUAUCUCGGUACGUAAAGCUCUAUCAGCAGGGAAGAAAAUGACGGUACCUGACUAAGAAGCCCCGGCUAACUACGUGCCAGCAGCCGCGGUAAUACGUAGGGGGCAAGCGUUAUCCGGAUUUACUGGGUGUAAAGGGUGCGUAGGCGGUCCGGAAAGUCAGCGGUAAAAGCCCGGGGCUCAACCCCGGCGAGCCGUUGAAACUGUCGGACUAGAGACGGCGAGAAGUAC